GACGAACGCUGGCGGCGUGCCUAAUACAUGCAAGUCGAGCGGAGCGGCGGACGGGUGCGUAAUGCCUAGGAAUCUGCCUGGUACUGGGGGAUAACGCCCGGAAACGGGCGCUAAUACCGCAUACUAUCAGAUGAGCCUAGGUCGGAUUGGCUAGUUGGUGGGGUAAAGGCCUACCAGGGCGACGAUCCGUAACUGGUCUGAGAGGAUGAUCAGUCACACUGGAACUGAGACACGGUCCAGACUCCUACGGGAGGCAGCAGGGGGGAAUAUUGGACAAUGGGCGAAAGCCUGAUCCAGCCAUGCCGCGUGUGUGAAGAAGGUCUUCGGAUUGUAAAGCACUUUAAGUUGGGAGGCGUUACCAACAGAAUAAGCACCGGCUAACUUCGUGCCAGCAGCCGCGGUAAUUC
rnacentral:rRNA from 1 species